rfam:Planomonospora sphaerica DNA, contig: NODE_9_L368854_C34.
CGAGCCGGCCGGGCGGCCGCGUCGGGUCCCUUGCGGGCCCGCCGAGGAAGGUCCGGGCUCCACAGGGCAGGGUGGUCGGUAACGCCGACCCGGGGUGACCCGCGGGACAGUGCCACAGAGAACAGACCGCCUCUCGCAAGAGGGGUAAGGGUGAAACGGUGGUGUAAGAGACCACCAGCGCCCACGGUGACGUGGGCGGCUCGGUAAACCCCACCCGGAGCAAGGUCAAGAAGGGGCGCUCCGCGAGGAGCGUCCCGCGCGCGACGUUCGAGGGCUGCCCGCCCGAGCCGCGCGGGUAGACCGCUCGAGGCCGGCGGCAACGCCGGCCCUAGAUGGAUGGUCGCCCCUUCACGCGAGUGAAGGACAGAACCCGGCCUACAGGCCGACUCGUCCG